GACGAACGCUGGCGGCGUGCCUAAUACAUGCAAGUCGAACGCUUCUUUCCUCCCGAGUGCUUGCACUCAAUUGGAAAGAGGAGUGGCGGACGGGUGAGUAACACGUGGGUAACCUACCCAUCAGAGGGGGAUAACACUUGGAAACAGGUGCUAAUACCGCAUAACAGUUUAUGCCGCAUGGCAUAAGAGUGAAAGGCGCUUUCGGGUGUCGCUGAUGGAUGGACCCGCGGUGCAUUAGCUAGUUGGUGAGGUAACGGCUCACCAAGGCCACGAUGCAUAGCCGACCUGAGAGGGUGAUCGGCCACACUGGGACUGAGACACGGCCCAGACUCCUACGGGAGGCAGCAGUAGGGAAUCUUCGGCAAUGGACGAAAGUCUGACCGAGCAACGCCGCGUGAGUGAAGAAGGUUUUCGGAUCGUAAAACUCUGUUGUUAGCGAAGAACAAGGACGUUAGUAACUGAACGUCCCCUGACGGUAUCUAACCAGAAAGCCACGGCUAACUACGUG
rnacentral:rRNA from 1 species